CCUACGGGUGGCAGCAGUGGGGAAUUUUGGGCAAUGGGCGCAAGCCUGACCCAGCAACGCCGCGUGAAGGAAGAAGGCUUUCGGGUUGUAAACUUCUGUUGACAGGGAAGAGUGACGGACGGUACCUAUCGAAUACGCCACGGAUAACUACGUGCCAGCAGCCGCGGUAAUACGUAGGGGGCAAGCGGUGUCCGGAUUUACUGGGGGGAAAGGGCGGGGAUCCGGGUUGACAAGUCAGAUGUGAAAUCCUGCGUCUUAACCGCAGAAAUGCAUUUGAAACUGUUGAUCUUGAGUACUGGAGAGGCAGACGGAAUUCCUAGUGUAGCGGUGAAAUGCGUAGAUAUUAGGAGGAACACCAGUGGCGAAGGCGGUCUGCUGGACAGCAACUGACGGUGAGGCGCGAAAGCGUGGGGAGCAAACAGGAUUAGAUACCCUGGUAGUC
rnacentral:rRNA from 1 species